rnacentral:rRNA from 1 species
AACGAACGCUGGCGGCAUGCCUAACACAUGCAAGUCGAACGAGACCUUCGUGUCUAGUGGCGCACGGGUGCGUAACGCGUGGUAACCUUCCCUUAGGUUCGGAAUAACUCCCCGAAUGGGGUGCUAAUACCGGUUAAUGUCUUCUGACCAAAGAUUUAUCGCCUUUGGAUGGGCCCGCGUUGGAUUAGCUUGUUGGUAGGGUAAAAGCCUACCAAGGCGACGAUCCAUAGCUGGUAUGAGAGGAUGAUCAGCCACAAUGGGAAUGAGACACGGCACAGACUAGUACGGGAGGAAGGAGUGGGGAAUAGUGGAAAAUGGGCGAAAGCAUGAGACAGCAAUGACGGGUGAGAGAUGAAGGACUUAGGGAAGUAAAGCUGUUUUAAACGGGAUGAUAAUGACAGUAACGGGAGAAUAAGCACCGGCUAACUCCGUG